CAGUCGCCGCGGUAAUACGUAGGGUGCAAGCGUUAAUCGGAAUUACUGGGCGUAAAGCGUGCGCAGGCGGUUUGUUAAGACAGAUGUGAAAUCCCCGGGCUCAACCUGGGAACUGCAUUUGUGACUGGCAGGCUAGAGUAUGGCAGAGGGGGGUGGAAUUCCGCGUGUAGCAGUGAAAUGCGUAGAUAUGCGGAGGAACACCGAUGGCGAAGGCAAUCCCCUGGGCCUGUACUGACGCUCAUGCACGAAAGCGUGGGGAGCAAACAGGAUUAGAUACCCCAGUAGUCCCUGUCUCUUAUAC
rnacentral:rRNA from 1 species